GUUCUUGUUUGAUAUGGAUGGUUCUGUGCAGUUUUGUUCUUCCAAGUGUUUUGGUUAUGCUAUGUCUCUGAGCCAGAAGAUUUUUUUCUCUCUGAUUCAAGUGUUUGUACAUUGGUGUAGCAAUUUUCGACACUAUCAGAAAGUACCUGGUCUCAGUUGAUGUUUGAUCAGAAUGCCCACGAUACUUAUGUUUUGGUUCUUU
rnacentral:misc_RNA from 1 species